GACGAACGCUGGCGGCGUGCCUAAUACAUGCAAGUCGAGCGCAGGAAAUCGACGGAACCCUUCGGGGGGAAGUCGACGGAAUGAGCGGCGGACGGGUGAGUAACACGUAAAGAACCUGCCCUCAGGUCUGGGAGAACCACGAGAAAUCGGGGCUAAUACCGGAUGGGGCAUCGGACCGCAUGGUCCGAGGAUGAAAGGCGCUUCGGCGUCGCCUGGGGAUGGCUUUGCGGUGCAUUAGCUCGUUGGUGGGGUAAUGGCCCAACAAGGCGACGAUGCAUAGCCGACCUGAGAGGGUGAUCGGCCACACUGGGACUGAGACACGGCCCAGACUCCUACGGGAUGCAGCAGUAGGGAAUCUUCCACAAUGGACGAAAGUCUGAUGGAGCAACGCCGCGUGAACGAUGAAGGCCUUCGGGCCGUAAAGUUCUGUUGUAAGGGAAGAACAAGUGCCGCAGGCAAUGGCGGCACCUUGACGGUACCUUGCGAGAAAGCCACGGCUAACUACGUGCCAGCCGCCGCUGUAA
rnacentral:rRNA from 1 species